rnacentral:rRNA from 1 species
CCAUAUGCUUGUCUCAAAGAUUAAGCCAUGCAGGUCUGAGUACGGCCUCCAGUGAAAAGGCGAAACCGCGAAUGGCUCAUUAAAUCAGUUAUGGUUCCUUAGAGCUUACCAUGUCUUACUUGGAUAACCGUGGUAAUUCUAGAGCUAAUACAUGCAGCAAAGCUCCGACCCUCGGGAACGAGCGCUUUUAUUAGACCGCAAUGACCGUAGCCGCGUGCGGGGGAGAGGGUUAAUUCUCUUUUCUCCGCGCGUGCGUGUUUGCGUGGUGACUCUGGAUAACUUAGCUGAUCGGCCGGCAAUGGUACACACGUGCCUUCGUCCGGCCGACGCACCUUUCAAGUGUCUGCCUUAUCAACUGUCGACGGUAGGUUAAAUGCCUACCGUGGUUGUAACGGGUGACGGGGAAUCAGGGUUCGAUUCCGGAGAGGAAGCCUGAGAAACGGCUACCACAUCCAAGGAAGGCAGCAGGCUCGCAAAUUACCCACUCCCGGCACGGGGAGGUAGUGACGAAAAAUAACGAUGCGGGACUCGGUCGAGACCCCGCCAUUGGAAUGAGUACACUCUAAAUCCUUUAACGAGGAUCGACCGGAGGGCAAGUCUGGUGCCAGCAGCUGCGGUAAUUCCAGCUCCGGUAGCAUAUGCUAAAGUUGCUGCGGUUAAAAAGCUCGUAGUUGGAUCUCAGUCUGGGCCGCGCGGUCUCGCCCGUGUGGCGGGUCUCGCCGCGGCCGGUCAAAAUGUCGGCCGCCCGGGAUGAUCUUGACCGGUUGUCUCGGAACGGCCGGCGAGUUUACUUUGAAAAAAUCAGAGUGCUCAAAGCGGGCGUUAUCCGCCCGAACGCCCGUGCAUGGAAUAAUGGAAAACGACCUCGGUUCUGCUCUGUUGGUCCACGAACUUUGUUGAGGUAAUGAUUAAGAGGAACGGCCGGGGGCGAUCGUACCGCGACGCUAGAGGUGAAAUUCUUGGACCGUCGCGAGACGCACCACAGCGAAAGCAUUCGUCAAGAACGCUUCCGUUAAUCAAGAACGAAAGUCAGAGGUUCGAAGGCGAUCAGAUACCGCCCUAGUUCUGACCAUAAACGAUGCCGACCAGCGAUCGGGCUGCGCUCACCACGAUGAGGCGCCCGGAAGCUUUCCGGGAAACCAGAGUCUCUGGGUUCCGGGGGAAGUAUGGUUGCAAAGCUGAAACUUAAAGGAAUUGACGGAAGGGCACCACCAGGAAUGGAGCCUGCGGCUUAAUUUGACUCAACACGGGAAAACUCACCCGGCCCGGACACGGGAAGGAUUGACAGACCGAUUGCUCUUUCUUGAUUCUGUGGGUGGUGGUGCAUGGCCGUUCUUAGUUGGUGGAGCGAUUUGUCUGGUUGAUUCCGAUAACGAACGAGACUCUAUCCUGCUAAAUAGUCGCCCGUUUUGCCGUAGUAAAAAACGGCACGCGGCGCAAACACUCUUCUUAGAGGGACAAGCGACGCAUUAAAGUCGCGCGAGGGAGAGCGAUAACAGGUCUGUGAUGCCCUUAGAUGUCCGGGGCCGCACGCGCGCUACACUGACGCCCACAGCGUGCGCGCUCGCCCGGUCCGACAGGACCGGGGAACCCCAUCAACGGACGUCGUGAUGGGGACAGGGGAUUGGAAUUGUUCCCCUCGAACGAGGAAUUCCCAGUAAGUGCGAGUCACUAGCUCGCAUUGAUUACGUCCCUGCCCUUUGUACACACCGCCCGUCGCUACUACCGAUUGAACGGUUCGGUGAGGUCCUCGGACUGGUGCCACUGCUAAGGACCCUGCUUCUUUCUUAACGGAAGGUCGUAUUCCCGAACGGGCGCCGGAAAGUCGAUCGAACCGUAUCGUUAGAGGAAGUAAAAGUCGUAACAAGGUUUCC